CAGUGACAUCGGUCUGGAAGACCGGUUCGAGUUUGAUCACCGAAGUUAAGCAAUGUCUAGCCUAGUCAGUACUUGGAUGGGGGACUUCCCGGGAAUACCGGGUGCUGUAA